CAGUCGAGCGAGCUUGCCUAGAUGAUUUUAGUGCUUGCACUAAAUGAAACUAGAUACAAGCGAGCGGCGGACGGGUGAGUAACACGUGGGUAACCUGCCCAAGAGACUGGGAUAACACCUGGAAACAGAUGCUAAUACCGGAAGGACGAAAGUUUAAAGAUGCUUCUGGCAUCACUGAUGGAUGAGCCUGCGGCGCAUUAGCUAGUUGGUGGGGUAAAGGCCCACCAAGGCGACGAUCAGUAGCCGGCCUGAGAGGGUGGACGGCCACAUUGGGACUGAGACACGGCCCAAACUCCUACGGGAGGCAGCAGUGGGGAAUAUUGCACAAUGGGGGAAACCCUGAUGCAGCGACGCCGCGUGAGCGAAGAAGUAUUUCGGUAUGUAAAGCUCUAUCAGCAGGGAAGAAAAUGACAGUACCUGACUAAGAAGCCCCGGCUAACUACGUGCCAGCAGCCGCGGUAAUACGUAGGGGGCAAGCGUUAUCCGGAUUCACUGGGCGUAAAGGGAGCGCAGGCGGCACGGCAAGUCUGGUGUGAAAACCCGGGGCUCAACCCCGGGACUGCAUUGGAAACUGCCGGGCUGGAGUGUCGGAGGGGUAAGCGGAAUUCCUAGUGUAGCGGUGAAAUGCGUAGAUAUUAGGAGGAACACCAGUGGCGAAGGCGGCUUACUGGACGAUGACUGACGCUGAGGCUCGAAAGCGUGNGGAGCAAACAGGAUUAGAUACCCUGGNAGU
rnacentral:rRNA from 1 species